CUUCAUCGUUACCCAAAUUUCAAAAUGUUUUGUAUAAGCUUUUGCAAUCUUAGAGGUUUUAGAUGACUAAUUAUAUCAGAGAUGGCAGAUGGGUCUCUCUGCCCACCGCAGACUUCCUGAUUUGAUCUGAUACUUGCUCUUCAUCCUGGGAUGUGUCUCAGAAUCUUUGACAGCACGGAAGAAAGGUAGUCUUCACCAGCAGAUCACUUGGAAUCGGAAAUGAAGUCUCUUUGCCAUUGGCUGGAUCAGAUAUUUCAGAUUAGGGUGAAGUGGAGGUUUAUUGAUAUUUAAAAUUCAGAGCAUCGGAAAAUGAUAAAGGUCUGUUCUUGUCAUCAGUAGAAGUUUGUGCUGUUUGUAAUUGUGGCCUCUCACAAAGGCCACACUGGAUACAGUUGUACCAAGGGCUGUAGUCAUUAUUGAUGUGGUAACUGGAUACACAACUCCGUUUAAGAUCUAGUGUUUUUUUUCCCUCAAAAGACUAGUUGUUUCCAAGAGAUUUAAGAGAAGGCUUAUUGGCAUGUGUCUACCCAGAUGGGUAUCUCUCGAAGUAUGUGCCACUUUGAACUGCUUU
rnacentral:lncRNA from 1 species